GUGGGGAAUAUUGGACAAUGGGCGGAAGCCUGAUCCAGCAACGCCGCGUGAGGGAUGACGGCCUUCGGGUUGUAAACCUCUUUCAGCUCCGACGAAGCGGGCGUUUUUGCGUCUGUGACGGUAGGUGCAGAAGAAGGACCGGCCAACUACGUGCCAGCAGCCGCGGUAAUACGUAGGGUCCGAGCGUUGUCCGGAAUUAUUGGGCGUAAAGGGCUCGUAGGCGGUUUGUCGCGUCGGGAGUGAAAACCAGCAGCUUAACUGCUGGCUUGCUUCCGAUACGGGCAGACUAGAGGCAUUCAGGGGAGAACGGAAUUCCUGGUGUAGCGGUGAAAUGCGCAGAUAUCAGGAGGAACACCGGUGGCGAAGGCGGUUCUCUGGGAAUGUCCUGACGCUGAGGAGCGAAAGUGUGGGGAGCGAACAGGAUUAGAAACCCUAGUAGUCC
rnacentral:rRNA from 1 species